AUUGAACGCUGGCGGCAUGCCUUACACAUGCAAGUCGAACGGUAACAGGUCUUCGGAUGCUGACGAGUGGCGAACGGGUGAGUAACACAUCGGAACGUGCCUAGUAGUGGGGGAUAACUACUCGAAAGAGUGGCUAAUACCGCAUGAGAUCUACGGAUGAAAGCAGGGGAUCGCAAGACCUUGUGCUACUAGAGCGGCCGAUGGCAGAUUAGGUAGUUGGUGGGAUAAAAGCUUACCAAGCCGACGAUCUGUAGCUGGUCUGAGAGGACGAUCAGCCACACUGGGACUGAGACACGGCCCAGACUCCUACGGGAGGCAGCAGUGGGGAAUUUUGGACAAUGGGCGCAAGCCUGAUCCAGCAGUGCCGCGUGCAGGAUGAAGGCCUUCGGGUUGUAAACUGCUUUUGUACGGAACGAAAAGCCCUGGGUUAAUACCCUGGGGUCAUGACGGUACCGUAAGAAUAAGCACCGGCUAACUACGUGCCAGCAGCCGCCGUAAGAC
rnacentral:rRNA from 1 species